rnacentral:rRNA from 1 species
UAGGGAAUCUUCGGCAAUGGACGAAAGUCUGACCGAGCAACGCCGCGUGAGUGAAGAAGGUUUUCGGAUCGUAAAACUCUGUUGUUAGAGAAGAACAAGGACGUUAGUAACUGAACGUCCCCUGACGGUAUCUAACCAGAAAGCCACGGCUAACUACGUGCCAGCAGCCGCGGUAAUACGUAGGUGGCAAGCGUUGUCCGGAUUUAUUGGGCGUAAAGCGAGCGCAGGCGGUUUCUUAAGUCUGAUGUGAAAGCCCCCGGCUCAACCGGGGAGGGUCAUUAGAAACUGGGAGACUUGAGUGCAGAAGAGGAGAGUGGAAUUCCAUGUGUAGCGGAGAAAUGCGUAGAUAUAUGGAGGAACACCAGUGGCGAAGGCGGCUCGCUGGUCUGUAGCUGACGCUGAGGCUCGAAAGCGUGGGGAGAAAACAGG